GGCCAUUCCACUGGCUACUGUAGUUUACUGCAGCUGCUCUGGUAGAAUCCUCCACAUUUCACUCCUGGAAAUGAUAUUAUUGGAAAGGAAUCAGGGGAACACUCUCCAUGAACAAUGUGAGGGAGUGAAAUUUGCCCAGGGAAAACCAGGGUUUCCAAAGUCCAGGGCCCAGUAAAAUGAUAAUCAGGCCCUUCAUAUUCCUAUAUUUUAUUCUCUUUUGAUCAUGCCACUCUUGAUCUUUUCUUGCACUGAAGAGUUUGCAGGUGGUCAAGUAAGGAGAGCAACUGGUAAACAAGUCGACAUUCCAGUUGUUCAGCUUUGCUUCUUCUUAGCAGUCCAUGAAAAGACUGGAGUAAGAGCCUGAACCCAAUGACUAGCUGUGAAUUAUAUACUGGAGUUUUAUUUCUUUAGUCAUGCUGUGUUCUCUCUCCAUCUGCACAGAUAAUUGAAAGCUGGCUGGAAGUGUGUUUCACUGAAGCGUGAAGGCUAUGCAGUCUCACUACAGAUUUCCUAAAGAGAUCCCUUUUCAUGAAGGUUUUCACUUCCUGCCACUGGGGAUUGACAUGAUGGGUGACCAGAAGAAGCGAGAGUCUGUCUUCCUGAAACUCAGAGGCUGUCUUGGGGAACUUAGUUGACAGGGCAGAAAAUAGAGUUUCAAGUUUAAGUCUCCAGGUGUAAAAAAAUUGUUAGUGUCUCUGUCCAUGUGACAUAUACAAAAACACAGGAAAUGUAAAAAUAUAAUACUUUUGGAAAAAUUGAUACUGUCCUCUCUGUACAGUAUUCUCUUUUUUUCCUUAUUUCCAAGAAGAAUACAAGUCUAGAAAGGAUAUCUAGAAAGGAGGCUAAAGGAUGUCAUUAAAGGGGACAUUUUCACAAGAUUCUUGAUUUACAGGUACAUUUCACACUAUUCAAACACUUUUGCUCAAUUUAAAUCUGAGUAUCUCACUGUUCCUACAGUUUUUUUUGUGAUUUUUAAUCAAUUAAUGGUAUUUAUUGAGCACCUAUUAUGUGCAUAGCAUUGCAUUAGGAGCUUGGGAGAGUACAUAAUAACAGAGUUGGCAGACAAGUUCCCUGCCCACAAGAAUCUUAUAGCCCAGAGGGAAAUUCUGUCCAAUGACUUAACAAAAUGGUGUGCAAGCACAUGCAUAUUUUUGAAUUAAUUUGACAAAGUGCUCUGCACCUAGGAAGCUCUCAAUAAAUACCACUGAUUGAUUUUCUCUAAAAUUUAAUUUUUGUGUUUGCCACAGUAUUGACAGCUUCUAUAGACUUCAUAUUUUAUUAGCUUAAAGAGGCACUCAGAUGUCUUUUCUUCUAAUUAAGCUCCCUCUUUGGAAUUUGAACUUUCUAAGUCAGAUGAUGUAACACCUGCUUUGUAUUUCAAGACUGCCCUCUGCAUUUUGAUGGUUUGGGGUACUUUUUGUGCAGGGCACUGUACUAAAGCACUUGGGAAAGAACAAUACAUAAGAGUUGUUAAGCACAAUCCUUGCUCACAAGGAGCUUACAAUCUAGAGGCAUUAAAAUAAGUUACAGAUAUAAUAAUUGUAGUAUUUAAGUGCUUAGUAUGUACCAGGCACUGUAAUAAGUGCUGGAGUAGAUACAUGCAAAUUGGGUUGGACAC
rnacentral:lncRNA from 1 species